CCUGANCNGCCNUGCCGCGUGUGUGAAGAAGGCUUUCGGGUUGUAAAGCACUUUCAGUGAGGAGGAAAACCUUACGACUAAUACUCGUGAGGCUUGACGUUACUCACAGAAGAAGCACCGGCUAACUCCGUGCCAGCAGCCGCGGUAA
rnacentral:rRNA from 1 species